rnacentral:piRNA from 1 species
UGGCUGUCCAUAUUGUUUUCCUGUAUUU